UCGUGUUGAUUGUUAAUUAUAGUAAUGUAUAUUAAUGUGAACAUAUCAUACAUUACUACUAUAGUUCGUGGUUAUUAUCGGCUGUCAAAUACAUAUAAAGCAAAAUAGUUUCUUUAACAUUUCAGUUACGUACUUACAUAAAAAUGAUUAAAAUUUCACUAGUAAUUUUUGCUACUGCAAUUGCAAGUAUAGCAGCAAGUUGUAUUCCUAAAAACUGUACAGGAAUUUAUAAUUGUCCUAAAUCUGAACCAUGUACAUCAACUUCUCAAAUUUUUUACGAUGGUUGUUGUAAAAUUUGUGUAAAAGAUUGUAACGCAUAUUGCAACAAGACUGUAUGUCCUGUUUAUGUUUGGUGUCCCAAUCCUCAUAAAGGCGGAGUAUGUAAUUGUUGUACUUUAUGCAAUUAAAUAAAAUUCAUCCAUUUACAAUAUAUAAAUAAACUAUAUUUCUCAUA